AUAAUAACUUAACGAAUCGCAUGGCCUUGCGCCGGCGAUGGUUCAUUCAAAUUUCUGCCCUAUCAACUUUCGAUGGUAGGAUAGUGGCCUACCAUGGUGGCAACGGGUAACGGGGAAUUAGGGUUCGAUUCCGGAGAGGGAGCCUGAGAAACGGCUACCACAUCCAAGGAAGGCAGCAGGCGCGCAAAUUACCCAAUCCCGAUACGGGGAGGUAGUGACAAUAAAUACUGAUACGGGGCUCUUUUGGGUCUCGUAAUUGGAAUGAGAACAAUUUAAAUCCCUUAACGAGGAACAAUUGGAGGGCAAGUCUGGUGCCAGCAGCCGCGGUAAUUCCAGCUCCAAUAGCGUAUAUUAAAGUUGUUGCAGUUAAAAAGCUCGUAGUUGAACCUUGGGUCUGGCUGGCCGGUCCGCCUCACCGCGAGUACUGGUCCGGCUGGACCUUUCCUUCUGGGGAACCUCAUGGCCUUCACUGGCUGUGGGGGGAACCAGGACUUUUACUGUGAAAAAAUUAGAGUGUUCAAAGCAGGCCUUUGCUCGAAUACAUUAGCAUGGAAUAAUAGAAUAGGACGUGUGGUUCUAUUUUGUUGGUUUCUAGGACCGCCGUAAUGAUUAAUAGGGAUAGUCGGGGGCGUCAGUAUUCAGCUGUCAGAGGUGAAAUUCUUGGAUU
rnacentral:rRNA from 1 species